GAGGGUAUAGCUCAGUGGUAGAGCAAAUGCUUAGUUAGCAUCCAGGAGGUUCUGGGUUCAGUCCCCAGUACCUCCA
rnacentral:tRNA from 1 species